GGCCCGGCCCCUUCUGCUUCCUCCCGACCCGCUGCCGGCGCGCUCCCGGCCUGGCCCCGGCCGGCCUUGAAUUUGCCCCCGGACGGCAGCGGACGUGAGAAAAUGAUUUCCUCCCUUUAGCAUCGCCACUGCCCUCCUGGGUGACAGGCGUAAUGGCCUGUUUUGCACGAAACAUGAGUUGCCGACUUCCCCUGGUGGCAGAGCCAGGACGGGAACCUAGGGCUUUGGUUUCUGUGACAGCAGCCCCCUCCUCGCCAUAGGAGAGCUGGUCUUCUUGUCUUUACUCUUUCCGAAGCAGCUUUCUCUAGAAUUUUGGAAUUGUGUCCUUGAUAGGAGUCGGAGGAAGCGGGUGGAAAGGCUUGAGGUGGAGAAAAGUUGUCACAUUUAUGCAGUGAGGUUGGAGCAGGUGCAGGCUGGAAUCCCCGUGCCACCCUCGCUGGCUAUGUGGACGGGAACAAGAUGCCUCCUCUUUGCCCUCGGUUUCCAGAUCUGUAAAAUGGGGCUGCUGACAACGGUAGCUGUUCGGUGGGACUGAACGAUGUAGGUGCUGCCUGGCACCCGGUGAGGCUCGGGGAGUUGCUGCUGCUACUACUGAUGGAAUCUUACGUUUUUCCCUCUGAGUCGGGGAGAGAGCUGGGUCCUGAGCCAGGAUGGUCCAGCCUUUCUCUCUGGACUUGCUGGCUUCUGGCUCUUUCCACCUUCUUUCUCUCUCUGCAGGCACGUGAAUCAUUCUCAGAUCUGACCUCUGGAGACUCCACCCAUCCUUGAGAAAGAGGACAUGGCUACUGAACAAAGGGAAG